rnacentral:rRNA from 1 species
UGGGGAAUAUUGGACAAUGGGCGAAAGCCUGAUCCAGCAAUACCGCGUGUGUGAAGAAGGCCUUAGGGUUGUAAAGCACUUUCAAUUGGAAGGAAAAAUUCGUGGCUAAUAUCCGCGAACUUGACAUUACCUUUAGAAGAAGCACCGGCUAACUCCGUGCCAGCAGCCGCGGUAAUACGGAGGGUGCAAGCGUUAAUCGGAAUUACUGGGCGUAAAGCGUGCGUAGGCGGCUCGUUAAGUCAGAUGUGAAAGCCCUGGGCUCAACCUGGGAACUGCAUUUGAAACUGGCGAGCUAGAGUUUGAGAGAGGUAAGUGGAAUUUCAGGUGUAGCGGUGAAAUGCGUAGAGAUCUGAAGGAACACCAGUGGCGAAGGCGACUUACUGGC